rnacentral:rRNA from 1 species
AACGAACGCUGGCGGCAUGCCUAACACAUGCAAGUCGAACGAGACCUUCGGGUCUAGUGGCGCACGGGUGCGUAACGCGUGGGAACCUGCCCUUAGGUUCGGAAUAACUCCCCGAAAGGGGUGCUAAUACGGGAUAAUGUCUUCGGACCAAAGAUUUAUCGCCUUUGGAUGGGCCCGCGUUGGAUUAGCUAGUUGGUAGGGUAAAAGCCUACCAAGGCGACGAUCCAUAGCUGGUCUGAGAGGAUGAUCAGCCACACUGGGACUGAGACACGGCCCAGACUCCUACGGGAGGCAGCAGUGGGGAAUAUUGGACAAUGGGCGAAAGCCUGAUCCAGCAAUGCCGCGUGAGUGAUGAAGGCCUUAGGGUUGUAAAGCUCUUUUACCCGGGAUGAUAAUGACAGUACCGGGAGAAUAAGCUCCGGCUAACUCCGUG